UACGUAGGGGGCAAGCGUUGUCCGGAUUUAUUGGGCGUAAAGAGCGUGUAGGCGGUUUGGUAGGUCCGCUGUGAAGACUCGAGGCUCAACCUCGAGACGCCGGUGGAAACCAUCAGGCUAGAGUCCGGAAGAGGAGAGUGGAAUUCCUGGUGUAGCGGUGAAAUGCGCAGAUAUCAGGAGGAACACCGGUGGCGAAGGCGGGUCUCUGGGCCGAAACUGACGCUGGAGGAGCGAAAGCGUGGGGAGCAAACAGG
rnacentral:rRNA from 1 species